rnacentral:rRNA from 1 species
AGUCUGACCCUUUCUCAUGGUUAACGCUUUCGGCGUUCCUAAUAUAUUCAAUUUGUGCUGGCCGUUUGUUAUCUCACGGUCAGCGUCGGACGGGUGAGUAACGCGUGGGUGACCUACCCUUAAGAGGGGGACAACCUGGGGAAACCCAGGCUAAUCCCCCAUGUGGACACAUCCUGUGGGGUGUGUUUAAAGGGUUUUUCCCGCUUCCGGAUGGGCCCGCGUCCCAUCAGCUAGUUGGUGGGGUAAAGGCCCACCAAGGCGACGACGGGUAGCCGGUCUGAGAGGACGGCCGGCCACAGGGGCACUGAGACACGGGCCCCACUUCUACGGGAGGCAGCAGUUAGGGAUCUUCCGCAAUGGGCGCCAGCUUGACGGAGCGACGCCGCUUGGAGGAGGAAGCCCUUCGGGGUGUAAACUCCUGAACCCGAG